AACGAACGCUGGCGGCAUGCCUAACACAUGCAAGUCGAACGUGAUCCGGGGCUUGCUCCGGUGAAAGUGGCGGACGGGUGAGUAACGCGUGGGAACCUGCCCUUUGGUCGGGGAUAACUGCGGGAAACUGCGGCUAAUACCCGAUGUACCCGAGAGGGGAAAGAUUUAUCGCCGAAGGAUGGGCCCGCGUCGGAUUAGGUAGUUGGUGGGGUAACGGCCUACCAAGCCUUCGAUCCGUAGCUGGUCUGAGAGGAUGAUCAGCCACACUGGGACUGAGAUACGGCCCAGACUCCUACGGGAGGCAGCAGUGGGGAAUAUUGGACAAUGGGCGCAAGCCUGAUCCAGCAAUGCCGCGUGAGUGAAGAAGGCCUUAGGGUUGUAAAGCUCUUUCGGCGGGGACGAUGAUGACGGUACCCGCAGAAGAAGCCCCGGCUAACUCCGUG
rnacentral:rRNA from 1 species